rnacentral:tRNA from 1 species
GCGGGUGUAGCCAAGUGGAUAAAGGCAGUGGAUUGUGAACGCACCGUGCGCAGGUUCAAUUCCCAUCGUUUGCC